GUCGAGAAUCUUCCGCAAUGCGCGAAAGCGUGACGGAGCGACACCGCGUGAUGGAUGAAGUCCUUCGGGGCGUAAACAUCUUUUAUAAAGGAGGAAAUUUUUGACGUUACUUUAUGAAUAAGGGGCUCUCAAUCUCGUGCCAGCAGGAGCGGUAAUACGAGAGCCUCAAGCGUUAUCCGGAAUCAUUGGGCGUAAAGGGUGCGUAGGUGGUUUGAUUAGUCUCCCGUUAAAACUGCGAGCUUAACUCGAAAAGAGCGGGGGAAACGGUCAAACUAGAGUAUGUGAGAGGUGUGUGGAACUCAUGGUGUAGGGGUGAAAUCCGUUGAUAUCAUGGGGAACACCAAAAGCGAAGGCAGCACACUGGCACAUCACUGACACUGAGGCACGAAACCUAAGGUAGCGAAUGGGAUUAGAAACCCCGGUAGUCC
rnacentral:rRNA from 1 species